rnacentral:lncRNA from 1 species
GACCCCAUACUUCCCGACUGUCGCCGUAAUGAGGGUCGCCUAAUUGACUCAGAGAAGGCAGCACUUUGAUUUUUCCCGUUUCUUCUGGAAAAAGCAGAGGCUCACAGAGAGGCGUUACCCUACCCAAGGUCACACACCCAGUAAGUGGCCGAGGUGGGAUUCGAACCAGUUGGGAGCUAGGAGUCCUUUCUUUGUAGGGUGCCUUUCCCCGUCCCACUUCCCGUGGGGCUGGGGCGGGCCCCCUAGACGGGGGCGGCUUCCUCUCCUUGCCCUCUGCCACCCCAGAGUCCCCUCUGCACUCCCUCCUGCCCUUCCCGUUUUUUGUCCUGGUCUGAAGAUUGCUGAAUCCGCCCCCCGAGGGUGGGGUGCGUCCGCCCCUCGCUGACACCAGGGGAAUGAGAUUCUGGAUUAAGAGGUGGAAGGACCUUAGCUUCACUUCACAGAUGAGGAAACUGAGGCCC